ensembl:lncRNA
GGGACGGUGAGCGGGGAGGCAAGCAGGAUUCUCGGCAGGGACUCCCUGUCCUGCGCUCAGCCCCCACCGCUCGCAGAGCCCAUGUUUGUCCAGGCCAGAGUCCAGCGUGUCUCAGCCCUGAGCCGCCAGGCAGGCUCCAGGGUCCUGGCUUGGACUGUGGCCCUGGCCUCUGCAUUCUCCUCGUAGCCGGCCAGGCCCCAGGGUGACGGCUCAGCCCCCCUUCACAGCUUAAGACCCCAUCGGCUCAGUGCCUGCCUGUCAGUAGCUGGGGGUCAGUUGAGGCUGUGCUGGGCUCCGAGAGCUGCAGGGCCACCUCCGGGGAUCCUCUUCCCAGCACGGGUGGCCUGACCUUGGGGCCCAAACCCAACAGCACAGCAUCUCCAGCCCUGCUUGCCUCCAAGCCCAGCCUUCCCUUGCCUUCCUUUGACCUAGCUGGUACAGUGGCCCACUUCCACAGAACAGGAGUCCCGCCUUAAUCCCACCUGCCAAGUCCUUGUCCCCUGUGAGGUGAUGUCCCCCUUGGUCCAGGAGUUCAGACACAGGUGCCUUGGGGGAGCGGUCUCCACGCGGCCCACCUGGACACUCGCUCCCGGAAUGCAGUCUCCCCUCCUAUCUCCGCCCUGGCUCAGCCAGCCCCACGGCCAGCACCUCCCUGGUGGCCCUCACCUGCCACCCCGUCCCUUCUGGAUGCUCAGCUGCCCCACAGUGGAGCCUUCCUGAACACAGCGCCAGCCUUGGCCUUGCGCCUGUGCGCCCAAGACAGGGUGGCCUCCCAGAGCGGGGCGGGGACACCCCUGAGGGAGGCGGGACCAGGGUCUCCGCAGGCCCUGGUGAGAGGCCUGGAGGCUGUCUCAGUUUCCCGAGCUGGGAAUGGGCACAAGCGCAGGAGGCAGGGUCAGGCCCCGACCAACCUCACAGCUGCUGGCCAGCUCGUGUGCUGCAUGGCCCCGGCCAGUGUGCUGACCUCUCCGUGGCCCCGGCCUCGGACAGCACAGAGCGAAUAACAGUGCCUAUUCCAGAAGAGUCACACAGCGCCGAAUGGGUCAUCCACCGAGGAGCUGGUGAGUGCUGGGGUGGAGCCAUUGUGAGGAGGGGCCAGGGUCUCAAGGAGCAGGUGUCAGGCGGGGAGGCCAGGCAGGGGAGGCCAGGCAGGGGAGGCCAGGUGGGGGAAGCCAGGUGGGGGAAGCCAGGUGUGGGCGGUCAGGUGUGGGAGGCCAGGUGUUGGAGGCCAGGCAGAGGAGGCCAGGUAUGAGAGGCCAGGUGUUGGGGGCCAGGUGUGGGAGGCCAGGCAGAGGAGGCCAGGCAUGGGAGGCCAGGUACGGGAGGCCGGCCCGAGCUUCUCAGGAAGAGUGUUUUCAGGCUCUAGGGGGAGGGCCGCCUUCCAGGCAAGUGACUGUAUGUUCUGGACUCUCCCAGGCACCCAUGAGCCGAGGACUCGGCAGACUUGGGAUACAGGGCCUGCUGCCCAUCUACUCCCCGUGUGAGGGGAAGACUGAGCUGGAGCCUCAGGCCCCUGGAAGCUUGCCUGCCCUUCCUUCCUUCCUUGGGGUCACAAUGGUGUCCCCCACCUGGACGCGCAGCUGCUCUGCUGGCUGGCCUGGAGGCCCCCGGCUCCUCCCUGGGGAGAGGGUGCCCUUACUCUCGACCGUGAUAUCAAUGUUCCUAUAGAACACCUUUGUAGCUUUCUCAGUGACGCCUGGAAUCUCCCCUGUGAGCUCUCAUUUUUCAAUGGGUGCCCCCAACCUGUCCCACUCCUGACUGGGUCAGGGAAAACACAAGCUGAGCCUGGAAUAUCUUGUGGGGCCAGAAAGCCAGGAAAUGUUCCCCAAUUUAAUUAAUUAGGAAAGUUAGAGCUUGUAGCAGACGCAGGGCACACCCUGGGAGUGCUGCCAGCAGCCACAGACUCAGGCUGGCGUAUUGUUACCCAGAGUGACACGUGUGUGCGAGCCGGGCCGGUGGAAACAGCCGCUUGUGUAAACAAACCAACAGGGACGAGAGCAGCGCUGCUUUCAGGAAACGUUCCCUCACAAGUGACAGGGAGAGAGGGAAAGAGCAGGGCGCCUGCGUGCGCCCGCUCCAGCUGCGGAGGGUCACGGGGCAGGAGGACAGACGUCCGUAGGCACGCAGAGCCUUGCACGCCUCUCUGGAGUCGCCUCAGCGUCAGUGAGGCUCCACGGCUCUGUCUUCAUGUCCACAGUGCAGCCAGCUUGUUCUCCACGGGGCGGGGUGCGAGGUGGGGGUGGGUGUCUGAGCAUGCUGGGGGCUGCCCAAGGACUGUCCCUGUGACAAGCAGAACCCUCCCCCAGGGAGCCAGCCACUGGUCUAGAGGGACUGGGCAGAUGGUCAGCUGGGCAGCUGGUGAGCUGGAUCGGUAGUCAGCUGGGUUGAGUAGUUAGAAGGGCUAGGUAGUAGGUAUCGAGCGUGGUCAGCUGGUCAGCUGAGUCCGCUCCAGGUUAAGUGAGCGCCCCUGCAGGGGCCGCGGCGUCUGAGCUGCCCUGCUUCGUCCUGCCCUGUCCUGUCAGACCGCGUGUGUCAGCAGCUGCGCUGCAGGCUGUCCUGGGACUUGUCAGACCGACAUCCAGUGCCCCUCCCUGCCUGCCACUCAGUGGCCCGGGUGAUGCCAGAGCUGCCCCGGCAGGACCCUCACCUAUUGCGAUGAAAACGGAGGAGCCAGGGCUGGUGUUCCAGGCCAGGGAAGUCCCUGGUUUGGGGGGCACAGACCAGGCUGGAGGUCCCCAGGCCAGUGGACGCUGACUGGGGCGCACAUCCCCAGAAGCCCCAGGAAAUGAGGUCAGAGCUCCACGCUUGGAGGAGGGUCUGGGUGAGACCCUUUCAUUCCGGGAGAACUGGGAGGCAGGCCUGCUUCUAGGGCAGGCGCCGGCGGCCGUGGACCCCGAGCAGGGCUCGCGCACGGGCUGGGGUGGGGCCCAGCAGUGCAGCACCGGGGUGGCGGGCAGUGCUGGUCACUGAAGAAGCCAGAGUCUUCCUCCUAACCCACGUGAUCGCCAGGCUCCUCGAGAAGCAGGGGCCCAGGUCUGAGGGCCCUGUCGGCUCUCCGAAGUGCAUGGAGUCCAGGACGUGCGAGGGUGAGGACUGAGGCGAGGGCAGCUGCCUGUAGCCAGGGAGGGCCUGGGAGCAGCCAGCAGGGGCCGGGCCCGGAGAAGCUGGAGGCCGCAGCUCUCUGCCCCAGCACCCUGCACCUGUGGGCCCAGGACCCCGGCCCACAAACGAGGCUCUGGCUCCUGCGUCUCAGGCCCAUGGAGGGAGUUUGUGGCUGAGAGGAGCAGCCCCUGGUCAGGCAGAUGGGCAGAUAGGUGGUGCUGUUGCCCUGGGGGUCUUGGGUCUGUCUUCCCCUGCCCUGGACAGCCCCUUGGCGCUUGCCCUGCUUUCUGCCUGGGGAGGGGCAGGCGGGGACGCUUCGCAUUUUCCUGGCCCACUCCCUGGCCUACGAUUCUGACUGCCAGCACUGACCGCUGUCCUGCCCUGUCCAGGAACCCAUGUCAGGCCCUGGGACCCGGGAUGCCCCAGAAAGUGGCAUCAGCCCUGGGCCGGGCUUGGGGUGCUCCAGGUGAGGCCUUGGUGGAGUCCUGGGGCUGUGCUCGGGGAAGGACAACUCACAGAUGGAAGGGGUUCUUGCCCUCGCGUGGCCUGGGCUGCUGUUCCCCACCACCUCUGAGGGUCGCCCCAGGGGCCUGUUGGCCCUGGUGAGCCCCUCACCUCCCAAGGCCUCAGUAGCACCCCACUGCGGCCAGGCUGGCCUUCCUCAGCACCAUGCUCGUCCCUCCCGCCUGGACAGCAGGGUGUCUGGAGCUAUGGCCCCAGGCUCAGGGCACCGGGGGCACCGUGGGGACACUGGG